rnacentral:lncRNA from 1 species
CUUCCUCUUUUCAAACUUCACAUGUGUGUUCUCUUUAAGCUAUUUCACCUUCAUCUUCGAAACUUUUGUGUUCUACAUGUAAAAUAAUUUUGUCUUCUUUAUGUUUUUUUUUUUCGUCAUCGUCUUCAAAACGUUUUCCCAAUUUUCUUUUGUUCUGAAUCUGUUAUAUCUUUAUUUCUACCUUUGUAUGUGUAUUGAAAAUUUGAUGAAGAUUCAUGCAUUCAUCUUUGAAGUUGGAGGUUGAUUUACAUUAUAUAUUUUUAUUUUUUAUAGUCGGAGAUUGAAAUGAUCCGAAGACGUUUGAGGAAUGAGCAUUCAUGAAACUAG